rnacentral:rRNA from 1 species
CAGGAUGAACGCUAGCGACAGGCUUAACACAUGCAAGUCGAGGGGCAGCACGGGAGUAGCAAUACAACUGGUGGCGACCGGCGCACGGGUGAGUAACGCGUAUGCAACCUACCUAUCAGAGGGGAAUAACCCGGCGAAAGUCGGACUAAUACCGCAUAAAACAGGGGCACCGCAUGGUGAUAUUUGUUAAAGAAAUUCGCUGAUAGAUGGGCAUGCGUUCCAUUAGGUAGUUGGUGAGGUAACGGCUCACCAAGCCGACGAUGGAUAGGGGAACUGAGAGGUUGGUCCCCCACACUGGUACUGAGACACGGACCAGACUCCUACGGGAGGCAGCAGUGAGGAAUAUUGGUCAAUGGGCGAGAGCCUGAACCAGCCAAGUCGCGUGGAAAAGGAAGAAGGAUCUAUGGUUCGUAAACUUCUUUUGCAGGGGAAUAAAGUGCAGGACGUGUCCUGUUUUGUAUGUACCCUGAGAAUAAGGAUCGGCUAACUCCGUGCCAGCCGCAGC